UACAGAGGUCCCAAGCGUUGUUCGGAUUCACUGGGCGUAAAGGGUGCGUAGGCGGUCGGGUAAGUCUGAUGUGAAAUCUCACAGCUUAACUGUGAAACUGCAUUGGAUACUAUUCGGCUUGAGAGUUGGAGGGGGGACUGGAAUUCUCGGUGUAGCAGUGAAAUGCGUAGAUAUCAGGAGGAACACCUGCGGUGUAGACGGCUUACUGGACCAUAACUGACGCUGAGGCACGAAAGCGUGGGUAGCAAACAGG
rnacentral:rRNA from 1 species